rnacentral:rRNA from 1 species
UACGUAGGUGGCAAGCGUUGUCCGGAUUUACUGGGCGUAAAGAGCGCGCAGGCGGUCGUUCAAGUCGCGUGUGAAAGCCCCCGGCUCAACUGGGGAGGGUCACGCGAUACUGAUCGACUCGAAGGCAGGAGAGGGUAGUGGAAUUCCCGGUGUAGUGGUGAAAUGCGUAGAUAUCCGGAGGAACACCAGUGGCGAAAGCGGCCACCUGGACUGUACCUGACGCUCAAACGCGAAAGCUAGGGGAGCGAACGGG